GACGAACGCUGGCGGCGUGCCUAAUACAUGCAAGUAGAACGCUGAAGAGAGGAGCUUGCUCUUCUUGGAAGAGUUGCGAACGGGUGAGUAACGCGUAGGUAACCUGCCUUGUAGCGGGGGAUAACUAUUGGAAACGAUAGCUAAUACCGCAUAACAAUGGAUGACACAUGUCAUUUAUUUUAAAGGGGCACCUGCACCACUACCAGAUGGACCUGCUGUGUAUUAUCUAGGAGGUGAGGUAACGACUCACCUAGGCGACGAUACAUAGCCGACCUGAGAGGGUGAUCGGCCACACUGGGACUGGGACACGGCCCAGACUCCUACGGGAGGCAGCAGUAGGGAAUCUUCGGCAAUGGGGGCAACCCUGACCGAGCAACGCCGCGUGAGUGAAGAAGGUUUUCGGAUCGUAAAGCUCCGUUGUAAGUCAAGAACGAGUGUGAGAGUGGAAAGUUCACACUGUGACGGUAGCUUACCAGAAAGGGACGGCUAACUACGUGCCAGCAGCCGCGGUAA
rnacentral:rRNA from 1 species